GCGCCAGUAGCUCAGCUGGAUAGAGUACUCGGCUACGAACCGAGCGGUCGGAGGUUCGAAUCCUUCCUGGCGCG
rnacentral:tRNA from 1 species